rnacentral:rRNA from 1 species
UACGUAGGGGGCGAGCGUUGUCCGGAAUUACUGGGCGUAAAGAGCUCGUAGGCGGCUUGUCGCGUUGUUCGUGAAAAUUUACCGCUCAACGGUGAACUUGCGGGCGAUACGGGCAGGCUAGAGUACUGCAGGGGAGACUGGAAUUCCUGGUGUAGCGGUGAAAUGCGCAGAUAUCAGGAGGAACACCGGUGGCGAAGGCGGGUCUCUGGGCAGUAACUGACGCUGAGGAGCGAAAGCGUGGGGAGCGAACAGG